rnacentral:misc_RNA from 1 species
UACAAACAAGGAUGUACCAGGAGCUUCAGCGCCCUCUUUUCCCUCCCCCUCCUUUUCUCACCUCCCAAACCCAGGACAACCCGUCCCAUCCAUCACACCAGUGCAAAUCCUAGCGCCUUGGCACAAUCGUCUCGCGGCACGCAGCUGAGGCGGCAGCAGCCACACCAAACAACACAGGUUAAGCAUUUUAAUCAAGCCGCCCGUGACACAAAAGCUGCCAACUUUCGCGCAGAUCAGGCAAGUCAUCUUGCUAAUCGCGGAGGAAGCCAGAUUCAGGAGAGCGGACUUACAAAAGAGGAGUGCCGCGCGAGCGCCGGCUUCCUCGCCGCCGCCGCCGGGAUCGGGGGCCUCCCGCCGCCGCCGCCUCGAGGCACGUGCUCUUCCAUCACCGACCAAAUUGGCUAGGGUUAGGGUUCGGAUCUGGUCCUGGGAGCUACCUGCACGUAGGAGCCUCCGUACUGUAGAGCGUGAACAGUAGCAGGAAAAAGUAGGGGAGGAAAAGGCGAAGAGAAAACGAGCGGCACCACAGGGGCGUUUGGGUAAAUUCGUGGGUGCUGUUAGGCUGUACUCUCUUGGAUUUUUUAUUUGAGUUUUGUGAGG